rnacentral:rRNA from 1 species
CCCAGACUCCUACGGGAGGCAGCAGUGGGGGAUAUUGCACAAUGGGGGGAACCCUGAUGCAGCGACGCCGCGUGGGUGAAGGAGCGUUUCGGCGCGUAAAGCCCUGUCGGCAGGGAAGAAGGAGGACGGUACCUGACUAAGAAGCCCCGGCUAACUACGUGCCAGCAGCCGCGGUAAUACGUAGGGGGCAAGCGUUAUCCGGAUUUACUGGGUGUAAAGGGGGCGCAGACGGCAGCGCAAGCCAGGAGUGAAAGCCCGGGGCCCAACCCCGGGACUGCUCUUGGAACUGCGCGGCUGGAGUGCAGGAGGGGCAGGCGGAAUUCCUGGUGUAGCGGUGAAAUGCGUAGAUAUCAGGAGGAACACCGGUGGCGAAGGCGGCCUGCUGGACUGCGACUGACGUUGAGGCCCGAAAGCGUGGGGAGCAAACAGGAUUAGAUACCCUGGUAACA